rnacentral:sRNA from 2 species
UAUUCUACCCUACGGGGAAGGAUGAGAAGCUUCGACUAAGGUUCGACUCGAGCGCCAGCGAGAGAACGUUGCCAAGGGCAACGGCCCGAAGGGCGAGGAGCGAUAGCGACGAGUUAUCCUUCCCCCACCACCA